AACCUAGCACACCUGCGGUGUGUACCUGCGGAAGGAUCAUUACCUAGAGUUGCGGGCUUUGCCUGCCAUCUCUUACCCAUGUCUUUUGAGUACCUUCGUUUCCUCGGCGGGUUCGCCCGCCGGUUGGACAACACUUAAACCCUUUGUAAUUGAAAUCAGCGUCUGAAAAAACUUUAAUAGUUACAACUUUCAACAAUGGAUCU
rnacentral:misc_RNA from 1 species